CGGGUGAGUAACACGUAGGUAAUGUACCUUUGGGUGGGGAAUAACUUAGGGAAACUUAAGCUAAUACCGCAUAAUGCAGCGGCUCCUUAUGGAGACAGUUGUUAAAGAUUUAUCGCCUAAAGAGCAGCCUGCGGCAGAUUAGCUAGUUGGUAAGGUAAUGGCUUACCAAGGCUACGAUCUGUAUCCGACCUGAGAGGGUGGUCGGACACACUGACACUGAAUAACGGGUCAG
rnacentral:rRNA from 1 species